AAAGUUGAGGUUUUUUCUAUAUCUACAUAUACAUUUUUGCAGCCACUUUGUAAAAUAAAUCCUGGAGUUGGGACUUAUUUACAGUGGCUGCCACUGGCAUUUAAUUAAUUGUAUUAA
rnacentral:sRNA from 1 species